rnacentral:rRNA from 1 species
AGUUAUUUUAUUAUUUAUUAUUUUUAAUGAAAGUAUUCUUUAUUUUAUUAUUUUAUUUGAAUAAAAUUUUUUAAUUAUAAGUUAUUAGUAAAGUGAUUGAACUUUGAAAUAAUUUUUAUUUUUUUAUAAGAAAGAUUGAUUUUUUGUACCUUGUGUAUCAGGGUUGAUUAAUUAGAAUUUAAUUAUUUAUUUUUCCCGAAUUAAGAAGAGCUAAUUUUUUAUAAAUUUGACUGUUUAAUAAGUCUUUAUAAUUUUUUAUUAGUAAUGAAACGUUAUACGUUUUUUAAUAUAUCUGGUUUUUUAAGAAAAGAAUUUAAUUCUCUUAAUUUAGGUAUAGGGUUUAUUUUUAUCUUUAUAGUUUUUAUUAGGAAACUUUUGAUGGGAUGAGCUUUCAGAAGUAUUUUUAAAAAGUUUAUUUUUGUGUUAAUUGUUGAGUAUGAUUAAAAUUUUAAAUCUUUAGAAUAAUUUUAUAGUUUUUCUUUUAAUUUUAUAUUAUUUUUAUUUUUUUAACUUGUUUAUUAAAAUUUAUUUUUCAAUUUUUUUAAGUUGGUAAUUAUGAUUAAAUUAGUAAAUUUUUAUUGUAGUUUUAAUUAUUUUUGUUAGGUUGUUAAAAGGAACUCGGCAAUAAUAUUUUUCGCCUGUUUAAUAAAAACAUGUCUUUUUGAUAAUAAUUUAAGGUCUGAUCUGCUCAAUGAGGAGUUAAAUUGCCGCGGUAUUUUGACCGUGCAAAGGUAGCAUAAUAAUUAGUUUUUUUAUUGAAAGCUGGUAUGAAUGAUUGGACGAGAAAAUGACUGUCUCUUUUCAAUUUGUUUUUGAAUUUAACUUUUAAGUUAAAAGGCUUAAAUUUUAAUUAAAGACGAGAAGACCCUAUAGAGUUUUACAUUUCUUUAUUUAUGAUUUUUUUGGUAUUUUUUUAAUUGUAGAUUGGGAUUUGUUUAGUUGGGGUGACUAGAAGAUUAAUUUAACUCUUCUAAUAUUUGAAUCAUUGAUUUUUGAUUAUUAAAUCUAGUUAUACUAAAUUUAAAAUAAAUUACCUUAGGGAUAACAGCGUAAUUUUUCUUUAGAGUUCUUAUUGAAAGGAAAGUUUGCGACCUCGAUGUUGGAUUAAAAUUUAUUUCUGGUGCAGAAGCUUGAUAAUUAAGUCUGUUCGACUUUUAAAAUUUUACAUGAUCUGAGUUUAAACCGGUGUGAGCCAGGUUGGUUUCUAUCUUGACUUUAUUAUAAUAUUUUAGUACGAAAGGACCAAAUAUUAAAUAUUUUUAUUUUUGUUGUUGAAUAUUAUU